UGGGGAAUUUUGGACAAUGGGGGCAACCCUGAUCCAGCCAUGCCGCGUGAGUGAAGAAGGCCUUCGGGUUGUAAAGCUCUUUCGGUGGGGAAGAAAUUGCACCUUCUAAUACAGGGUGUAGAUGACGGUACCCGCAUAAGAAGCACCGGCUAACUACGUGCCAGCAGCCGCGGUAAUACGUAGGGUGCGAGCGUUAAUCGGAAUUACUGGGCGUAAAGCGUGCGCAGGUGGUUGUGUAAGUCAGAGGUGAAAUCCCCGGGCUCAACCUGGGAACUGCCUUUGAGACUGCACGGCUAGAGGAUAGCAGAGGGGGGUGGAAUUCCACGUGUAGCAGUGAAAUGCGUAGAGAUGUGGAGGAACACCGAUGGCGAAGGCAGCCCCCUGGGCUAUUACUGACACUCAUGCACGAAAGCGUGGGGAGCAAACA
rnacentral:rRNA from 2 species